rnacentral:rRNA from 1 species
GAUGAACGCUGGCGGCGUGCCUAAUACAUGCAAGUCGAGCGAACGGACGAGAAGCUUGCUUCUCUGAUGUUAGCGGCGGACGGGUGAGUCACACGUGGAUAACCUACCUAUAAGACUGGGAUAACUUCGGGAAACCGGAGCUAAUACCGGAUAAUAUCUUGAACCGCAUGGUUCAAUAGUGAAAGACGGUCUUGCUGUCACUUAUAGAUGGUUCCGCGCUGCAUUAGCUAGUUGGUAAGGUAACGGCUUACCAAGGCAACGAUGCAUAGCCGACCUGAGAGGGUGAUCGGCCACACUGGAACUGAGACACGGUCCAGACUCCUACGGGAGGCCGCAGUAGGGAAUCUUCCGCAAUGGGCGAAAGCCUGACGGAGCAACGCCGCGUGAGAGAUGAAGGUCUUCGGAUCGUAAAACUCUGUUAUUAGGGAAGAACAUAUGUGUAAGUAACUGUGCAGAGCUUGACGGUAACUAAUCAGAAAGCCACGGCUAACUACGUG